UGCUUGGCCGGGAAGGCUCUAAACCUGUAGUUUCCUCUUGGGUUUGCAGAACCUCAUUAGUAACAUUACUUAAAGGAGGUUCAUCCAUAACAGCAUGCACAGCAGAGGAAGCAACGGAAUUGUAAACUUCCGCAUCAUCGUUGCUUGCAAAAGGGUUUUCAGGAAUGGCAACUGGACUAACUAGUAAGAGUUUCUCAACACGUUCCGGAUAUUGCAUGGCGUAGACAGCAGACAAAUAACCUCCCAUACUAUGGCCCACAAGGAUCAUUUUCUCGAUACCAUGACCGAUUCUCCAUGUUUCUAAUGACUCAGUGAAAAACCUCUCUGUUUCUUCGACCUUCUCUGAAGCGGUUUGCCCCUUGAUAUCGAAAGGCGGUCUUGACGAGUUUCCCAUGCCUAGCCAAUCAACAAAAUAAGAAUUAAAAUCCUUUGUCACACCCUUAGUCAAACCAUCCAUGUUCCGAAAGUAAAAACCAAGACCAGCUCCAUACCCAUGCAUGUAAACAAUGCUUCGCUUGUUCGCUUUUCCUGUUGCUUUAUCACUAACACAAACCUCAUGUACCAAUCCAUCAUUAUCGUAGAUUUUGGAAUCUACAACUUCAACUAACCUUUCUGGGUCCUUUUCAUUUUCCCGAAUAAAAUCGACAGUGUGCAGGACUUCACGCUCACAUUGUUUCGCAUAUUCUUCAGAGCAUGCUUGACGCCAUUGCCUCCAGGACAUGCCAAACGUUUGCGUAUAAGAAUUAGCUGCUUCCUCACUUCUCACCGCGACUUUCACUUGGCUCAUAGUAACGGUGCAAACGCUGAAUUCAACACAAAAUGGUCAAUGAAGGAGUCAACCCCGCGAUAAUGACAAUACAAACAAAUUACUGUUUAUGAACUAUUUAAAACAAAAUAAUUCCGAUAUUUAAAUAAAAUUCCGGAUAUUGGCUCGGCAAUUGGAAUUCAAAGUGUUGUGCUGUGGGUAAGUUUAUGUAAGCAAGAUACGAAGGUUUUGAUCUGACAAAGCAAUGGCAUUGUAACAAGCAGCGGAAAAGCAGCACAUUCUCUGACUUUUUUUCGUUAAUCUUCGUAACAUUUUGGCUGAAUUAAAAAAAGGCGAACAAAUGAUGAAGCAAGUUUUCAUGAAAAUU